GCCGAAGGUGGGGCUGAUGACUGGGGUGAAGUCGUAACAAGGUAGCCGUACCGGAAGGUGCGGCUGGAUCACCUCCUAACAGGGAGACAAAAAAAAAGAUCUUGAUGCCUGAGUGUUUAAUUCUUAGGCCAAGGUCCUGUCACCUUAGGUCGAUCGGUACCUCAAAUUUAUAACUUUGAUUAUGAAUUUCAGUUCCUAAACUUUGUCUAGGUCACACCCCGCAAGGGUUACUCCUGGGCCAUUAGCUCAGGUGGUUAGAGCGCACCCCUGAUAAGGGUGAGGUCCCUGGUUCAAGUCCAGGAUGGCCCAUUCGGUGUUGGGGGUUUAGCUCAGUUGGUAGAGCGCCUGCUUUGCAAGCAGGAUGUCAGCGGUUCGAGUCCGCUAACCUCCACUGGCCAACCUUCUUUAACGCCAAAGUUGAGGAGCAAUUGUGUGUUGUGACUUGGAUUGAGUCCCGCUGAAGGAACCUAGCUUCUUUUCAAUUCAGAAUUAAAUUCAUUAGUUCUCGCUGAAAGGAUGCUGGGCUCUCUUAGAUUCAUUGAAUCCGAUAGAAGUUCAGCAGAACCUUGACAACUACAUAGGUGAGUCUGGAAAGAAAAAAAAGCAUCUCAUGGAUAUGUUUUCUUUUCUACUUUCAGUAAGUAAGAAAAGAAUAACUUAUAAAUUCUUGAGUAAGAGCUGAGUGCUUAUAGCGUCUUUUUUGCUUUUUUAAAAGGCAUAAAGAGUUUGAUUGAUUGUUUAUUGACUGUCUAUUUAUUUAGAUAUUUAUUGAACACUCAAGAAUACGUGUCAACAACGUUUAG
rnacentral:misc_RNA from 1 species